GCCCCCAUAGUAUAGCCUGGAUAUCGGCGAAUCUUGAUUCGUCGAGAUUUGGCCGAUAGGACAAAUAGUACGUGAGCUUGCGGAGCUUAUAGCCGGGGUUCGAAUCCCCGUGGGGGCA
rnacentral:tRNA from 1 species